rnacentral:lncRNA from 1 species
GAAAAUAGAUGAGUAGAGUGAAAAUAAUAAUUCCAGGAAUCAAUAAUGCAAAAAUCCCUCCCCCACACCAAUAACUUACAUUGUCCCCAGUGUAAGAUAAUCAAAGCUCACAUAAAAAUUAAAGCGUAAGGAUAAAAGAUUAAAGGCAAAAACUUCCCUGAAUUGUGAGCUUUGAUCCUCAUAACGUCUAUGGGCUUGGCGGGAAUGGUGGGAUAAAUCCCACACUCUUGAAGUAUGCGGCCAAAUUCUGCUCCAUCUUGUCACGGAUUUCGAUUCACGCGGCUGGAAUGCAGGUCGUAGGCUGGUUGCGGACUAUUGCUGCUCGACUGGAGCUUGCGGGUACACGGCUGGUGGUUCAGUUGCGCGCGGAUGGGACUGAUGCUGCGAACUGGUGACGUUGGAUCUGCGUGCUGCGGCUGUUGCUGCGCGCUGGGGGAUUGCUGGUGCGCGCGCUGGUGACGCUUGUUGCGUUGCGUGCUCGGCUGGAGCUUGCUGCGCAGCUUGGGGCUGGUUGCGCACUGCUGGUUGCGUGCAGGAUGCUGUCUGCGUGGCUGCGUUGCGCGCGAGAGCUGCUGCGUGGCUGUGUUGCUGCGGGACUGUUGCGCGCGAGAGCUGGUUAUGAGUUGCGUUGCGGGGCGUGCU